GAUGGUAUAGUUCAAUUGGUAGAACGAUUGUAUGUGGCACAAUAAGUUCCCUGUUCAAUCCAGGGUACCACCC